rnacentral:RNase_P_RNA from 1 species
AACUUGCAUCGGAUAGUCGCCCGCCAUUAGGCGGGAGGAAAGUCCGAACACCGCCUGCCAACAUCUCUCGAAGUUGUGGCGAGGAGUCAGGUAGCGGGUAACACCCGUCGGUUGUAAAACUAGAGGUGCGAACAGAAACGACCCGGUUAAGUCCGGCUGAAACGUGCUAAAUCCUUACCUCGGUGCAAGGCCGUGUCCGCCUUUGGCGGAAGUGCCGCUUGAGCCAGCCAGUAAUGUCUGGCCUAGAUCAAUGGCUAUCGAUAACAGAAUUCGGCUUAUAGAUGCAAGCCAGUA